UAAGCUCAUUUGCUGUUUGCAGCUGCUGAAUGCUAAAGUUAAGGAGCUUUUCUACCUUAAUGCCUGGAAACCAUAACGCUUUUUUUGAGAUAUUUUCUGUUGAAUUUGUGUCACAUGACCCAAUAGGUGGAGCCACAAAGUAACACAGUGUCAAAGAUCAGUCUGUGCUUGUAACCUUGUUUAUUUUUGAUCGACUGUGUGAAAAUCCUCCUGGAUUUCUCAGUUCAGCGACUUGCCAACAGUUUGGAGUAUGUAGAGGACAGACGUUAAGAGACUAAAACAGAUUUGUGAACAGAUGCCACUGAGAGAAACACGUGUUUCCGAGGUCUCUUGAACGUGUCUUUGCUGUCGUGAAGGAACUCGCAGUUUGGCUCUGAUCCAAAAACAACCCAACCCAAUAUAACAACGGCGAUGCUUUUCUUCUGUGUCUGGAAGUUACAACUCAACGAGCCUCAUCCCAAACCUCAGUGAGAUGGUGUCUUCUGAACACUGUCAGUUUGCUGUUGAAGAUGAUUUUGAGGAGGAAAUCUAUGAAAACUACUGUCCUGUUUAUUACAAUGAUAGAGAUGAACAUCUUCAGUGGACAAACACUCAGUUGUGAUAAAAAUGAGUACUCGAUUGAAAACAGGUGCUGCCCCAUGUGUAAUUCUGGACAGAGGGUUAAAACAGUUUGUGCAGAUUGAAGACCUACGUCCUG